rnacentral:rRNA from 1 species
AUAUCAUAACGAAGAGGUAUCGUAAUUGAAGAGGUUUGGAAAGACCCACCACAGAAGGUAAUAGUCCUGGAUGUUAAACGAGAAGACUUUAGAUAUGAUCCAGAGUACCACGGGACACGUGAAACCCUGUGGGAAGCAGGAGGGACCACCCUCAAAGGCUAAAUACUACCUAGUGACCGAUAGCGUAUAGUACCGUGAGGGAAAGGUGAAAAGAACCCCGGGAGGGGAGUGAAAUAGAACCUGAAACCCUGCACUUACAAGCUGUGGAAGCACAUUUCUUG